GAUUUAAUGAGAAGAAAGGAAAAUAUGUAAUUUGCUUUUGGAGGGCUUCCCUGUGCUGCAGCCCCUCCUCCCCUGCUGGUAGUCUCUCCCUCAAAGGGAGACAGCCUUUGAUGCACGAGCUAAAUUCAGUUACUGACAUGAGUGGGGAGGGAGAACUCUUGUACUCGGAGGAUAAGAGAGAGGAGGGAUCUGCCUCUCCUGGCCUUCCUGUCCCCCUCAGAUAAGGAGUAAUCUAUGGCAAGUUGGCUCUGCCACUUUCUUAGCCCCAGUUAACAGUGAGCAUGACUCAGGCAAAGCCAGGACAGUGUCUCAGACAAGAGGCAUGUCUGCUGCUCCAGGAUCCUGCCCUCAGGGACGCUAGCUUCUCCCCAUCUCCCCUCCCAUUCUGCAAACCUCUACUGGGAGCUCCUGUAGCUGAGACCCCAGGCAAGGCCCCAGGGAGCUAAGGCACAGUAGUAAGUGCUGGGCUACAGGAAGGAGAAGCUCUAAAUAACGUACUAAGAAUUAUAACCAAGGUGUGUCCAGAGGGCUGCAGGAGGCUGUGCAAGGGCAGGAGCGACCUGUAAAAGGCCUGUGCUUCCCGUGGGGCAUAAACCGGACCAGGUGGAGGAUGCGUGGUACAAAGGAAGCCGUGAACAGAACCCAGGUAGCUCUGAAGUGCCUUUGGCAGCAAUGGGUGUUUAACGAAAUAAGGGAGAUGGAUUAGAUCAGGGGUUCUUGCCCUAAGGGCCAAGGCAGCCCCUGAACCCCCCAAAUUAUACGUAAAUAUGGGAUGUAUGUGCAUUUUUCUAAAGAUGGGUCCACAUAUUUCAUCAGAUUUUCAAAGGAGGUACUGACCUUUUGAAAAGUUAAGAAGCAAAGAAUUAGAUUCAUCAUUAAGGGCCCUUGUAGUUCUAACAAUAUAAGAUAUCCAAAAGCCAACAUUCCCCCUGGGUACCCAACUUCAGAAAUCACUCAGCCUCUCAAAGCUGCUGAGUCCAAGGCUGUCCACCCCACAGGGAAAAACUCAUCUGGUGUUCCAUACAUGACAUGUUAGUAUGCUACAUGCCCUGCUUCCAAAAGGCUUGUGUUAAAAGCUUUGAGCUGGAGCAAAUUUGAAUCUAGAAAAUCAGGGACCAGACCAUGAACUCUUCUGCUUUCCUCGCCAAACAAAGCACAGUGUUUUGCAUGUUGCAGGUGCUUUGGUCAAUGAAUGGAAACAAGAGCACCCCUACUUUGACACCUUCCACAGGAGAUGAGCACCACUGACUCUGGGGGCGGUGGACACAGAACACAUCACCACUGUGUACGAGCCUGACUCUCUACACAGAGGGCCACGAGCACCCUCAGCAGCUUGCAGGGCUGUGAAGGAGGCCAAGGAAGAUGGCCUGGCCUUGAAGGCUGUGGACUGGAGAGAAGCCUGUCUUCUAAAGAUAGGAAAGGUCCUAUCGCUCUGGUGGACAAUAUAUGGACCUCUCUGAACGCAGGGUGGACAAGCUGACUUCCUGACUCCAGCCCAGGGAUUCUGUAAUUCAAGGGGAUGGAUGACUCACGCUCAGAGUUACAGGCAUUUAGCCAACCAUCUCCUCCCAUGCAUCCAGGACCUGCAUCCCAGGUCAGCCUCCCACCCUGUUACAUGGCUUUGAGCAAUGUAUUUAACUUCUCUGUGUUUCAGUUACCUCCCCUGCCAAGUCAAGGGGCCGGAUGAGACCAUGGCCAAUAUCCCUUCCACCUCCAAAAGACUUUAAUAUGAUUACUGAGCCAUUAAGAUCAACGGAAAAGAAAAAUGCAUCCUGCUUCUGGACACUGUUUGUCGCCAGUCUCCAAGAGAUAUCUGUAGGAGCUCUGCUCAGUGAAGGAAACGGAUAAAAGAAGGACACGUGGAACUACCAGACAGAGGGCCACAGGCUCCCAAGCCCACCUCCUCAGCUGCAACUGUAAAGACCUCAUAUGAGUGGCUGAAGCCUUUAGAAGGCAAGGGAAGUGGUCCUGCCCAUCAAGGGAGCUCCAGCCCAGGCCGGCCUUAAAGAGGAGAGAGGAGCAGAGGGCCCUGGGUGCACAGCGGGAGGAGGCAUUCUUUUUGCCUGGAUACUAUGAGGAAGAUGUCACAGAAGGCAGACUGUGAGCUGGACCUUCAAUGACGAAUCUACAGAGAAGAAGGAGGACAUUCCAAGCUGAGUAAAGGGCACUUGCAAAGGCUGGGGAACAUGGAAAAACUUGGUGUGGUGAAGGCAGAGAGAACAGUUUGCUACCUAGAGUACUGGGUUCAGGAGGGUGGAAGGGAGUGACUGAGGCCAGGCACAGAAGGCUUUGCAGAAACAGGAAUCAUGGAGGAGAUAAGGAACCAAUAGUAAUGUUACUGCAGACAACUGUUAACAGUGACUGAGCACUCACCACGGGCAGGGGCCUGGGCUGCGUUCCCAGCGAGUAUUGUUUCACUGAACCUUCGCAGCAGCUCUGUGAGGCAGAUCAUGUCUCCAGUGUCAUGCCACGGAGAAGGGGAUGACAGCUGGCCAGGUGUAGGCAAAAAGGGGUGUAUUUGCCUAUAGGGAAUUUAAACACGACAAUAAAACCAACUCAAAGUCAAUCUGCUUUAUAUUCUCACCAUUCUCAUCAGCAUCAGUGACAAAAUACUCUCUCCUGCCAAGGCAGAUGGCUCCCAUA